rnacentral:lncRNA from 10 species
AUUUACCUUUAGUCAUAAAUCUCUGAAGUAAUCUUAUGUUAAUACACUUAAAAUUGCAAGGAAUGAUCAUAUUUCUUAAAACGGAGGGUACCAAGCUAUAAAUUCUUACUGAAUAAACGUAAUUUAGACUUUGUUCAGAACACAUAAAUGAGAACUAGUAGCGUGUUGGUGUAUUUUUAUUCAGAGGGUAGCGUGUUGGUGUAUUUUUAUUCGGAGGGUUGUGAAAGGCUGUAAUGACACCGCCUUGUCAAACAAUCAUAAAUGACUUCACUGAACACGACCUUUUUGCACCAACCCCUACUGGAGCCAAACACUCACAGUGGAGCUAGCUUGGCAUUUGGGAAGUGAGAUGACAGCAGCGUCCUUCUUUCACACAUGUUCAUUUAAAAUCUAUGGAAAAUAAAGACAGUAUAAAGAAGAAAAUAAACACAACCUGUAAAAAGCACUAUCAACAUUAUGGUAUACUGUUUCCCUCACUAUCAAAAGGUCAACAGAUGGAGACCAUCCUGGUCAACACAGUGAAACCCCGUCUCUACUAAAAAUAUAAAAAUUAGCUGGGCGUCGUGGUACGCGCCUGUAGUCCCAGCUAUCUAAACAUUAUCCAUCCAUAUCCAAAUGGUACUUGAAGUAACCACCUUCGCACACCUAUGCUGACUGCGCUCUCCAGCGAGAGCUAAGCUCGUGCUGCCUGGUCAUGAUGACCUGCAAGACUGAAAGGGGCAGUGAUCCUAGUUCUAGUUUCAUAGAAAAAACUGGACUGAAAAGAUGAGGCCAAGACAGAAAGAAAAAUGGAGACAGAAGAUAAAAAGGGAGAAUCCUGAAGAUAUCUGAGUUACUGGUUCCAGCUGUCCCUGAAAUCGGACGUUCCUGCCAUUCCCAUACUUGGGUAACACCCAUACAGCGCUAUCUUCAAUUAUUUCACUUAAGCUUAGCGUGAGGUUCGCUUUUUCUGCUCUCAUUACACUCCACUGCAAUCUUCAGUUUACUCACCUCAACUGUGAGCUUCUUAAAGACAAGCAUUCUAUUCUGUCUCUCUAGUGUCUCGCCAGUGUCUAACACAGUAUAUAACACAUGAUAGGUGUUCAAUCAACAUUUUCUGCAGGGAGAGGGAGGGGAGCAGGGCUAUUCCACAGUUUAAACAGGAAGGUAUCUUUACAUUUACACAUGUAGGACAUAAUGAACCUGAUUCUCUUAUUGCUUCUGCCAUAAUUCCAGAGUCUCAGGAAUGAUUAAAUGCUUCCACUGAUACAUUUAUUUUUCAAGGACUUGCAUACUAAUAAGAAUAAAGGUAAUACCACAGAUGCCAGUUCAGAACAAAGAAAUUAUCUGGUCACACUAGGCAGCUUGUCUCUCUUCUGACACGUAUUAGGGUUCUUCUCUGCCUUCAUGUUUGUAGGGACCUCUGUAUACACUUUUACCUCUAUAAUCAGAGCUGUAGCAAAUAGAGGAGGGAUGUGAGAAGGAUAAAAACUUUCUGUUGUGACAGAGAGAGUAUCAAAUUCAAUAUAUUCAGUCUAUGUAAGAAUGAAAAACACUGGAACAAUAUAGAGAUAUGUAUAUCAUCUUCUGAAAUCAACUCCUUUUUGCAGAAAUGACUUAUUUGCAUUAAAAAUGACUUAUCCCACAUCGUUCCACAUCAUGUUUGGGCUUUACUUCAGAAUUGAUAGAGCUAUUUCACAGAAGGAUAAUGUUCAUACUUCUGUUUGAGGACACUCAUACUGAAACCUCUUGGAUUACAAUUUCUCUUUAGCUCCCAUCUCGACUCGGAAGUGUAGUGACAUUUAAGAAGUAAGGCAGAGCCACUUCCUAAAAUUUCACACUCAGCUGGGCGUUGGGGCUCAUGCCUGUAAUCCCAGCACCUUGGGAGGCCGAGGCGGACGGAUCACGAGAUCAGGAGUUCGAGACCAUCCUGGCUAACACAGUGAAACCCCGUCUCUACUAAAAAUACAAAAAUUAGACAGGCGUGGUGGCGGGCGCCUGUAGUCCCAGCUGCUCGGGAGGCUGAGGCAGGAGAAUGGCGUGAAUCUGGGAGGCAGAGCUUGCAGUGAGCCGAGAUGGCGCCACUGCACGCUAGCCUGGGCGACAGAGCCAG